rnacentral:rRNA from 1 species
UACGAAGGGGGCUAGCGUUGCUCGGAAUCACUGGGCGUAAAGCGCACGUAGGCGGAUUGCUAAGUCAGGGGUGAAAUCCCGGAGCUCAACUCCGGAACUGCCUUUGAUACUGGGGAUCUUGAGUCCGGAAGAGGUGAGUGGAACUCCGAGUGUAGAGGUGAAAUUCGUAGAUAUUCGGAAGAACACCAGUGGCGAAGGCGGCUCACUGGUCCGGUACUGACGCUGAGGUGCGAAAGCGUGGGGAGCAAACAGG